GCCCCUAUAGCUCAGCUGGUUAGAGCUACGGACUUUUAAUCCGCAGGUCCUAGGUUCGAAUCCUAGUGGGGGCA
rnacentral:tRNA from 2 species